rnacentral:tRNA from 1 species
UCUAAAAUAGUUUAUUUAAAAAUAUUAACUUUGGGAGUUAAUGAACGACUUAGUUGUUUUUGGGG